UACGGAGGGGGCUAGCGUUGUUCGGAAUUACUGGGCGUAAAGGGCCCGUAGGCGGCCAACUAAGUCGGAUGUGAAAUCCCCAGGCUCAACUUGGGAACUGCAUCCGAUACUGGAUGGCUUGAAUUCGGGAGAGGGAUGCAGAAUUCCAGGUGUAGCGGUGAAAUGCGUAGAUAUCUGGAGGAAUACCGGUGGCGAAGGCGGCAUCCUGGACCGACAUUGACGCUGAACGGCGAAAGCUAGGGGAGCAAACGGG
rnacentral:rRNA from 1 species